rnacentral:rRNA from 1 species
CCUACGGGUGGCAGCAGUGGGGAAUAUUGGGCAAUGGGCGCAAGCCUGACCCAGCAACGCCGCGUGAAGGAAGAAGGCUUUCGGGUUGUAAACUUCUUUUCUCAGGGACGAAGAAAGUGACGGUACCUGAGGAAUAAGCCACGGCUAACUACGUGCCAGCAGCCGCGGUAAUACGUAGGUGGCAAGCGUUAUCCGGAUUUAUUGGGUGUAAAGGGCGUGUAGGCGGGAGCGCAAGUCAGAUGUGAAAACUCAGGGCUCAACCCUGAGCCUGCAUUUGAAACUGUGUUUCUUGAGUGCUGGAGAGGCAAUCGGAAUUCCGUGUGUAGCGGUGAAAUGCGUAGAUAUACGGAGGAACACCAGUGGCGAAGGCAAGUGUCCGGGGUGCAACUGACGCUGAGGCUCGAAAGUGCGGGUAUCAAACAGGAUUAGAUACCCGGGUAGUC